AUUGAACGCUGGCGGCAUGCCUUACACAUGCAAGUCGAACGGUAACGGGCCUUCGGGUGCCGACGAGUGGCGAACGGGUGAGUAAUGCAUCGGAACGUACCUUUCAGUGGGGGAUAACGUAGCGAAAGUUACGCUAAUACCGCAUAUUCUGUGAGCAGGAAAGCAGGGGAUCGCAAGACCUUGCGCUGAUUGAGCGGCCGAUGUCAGAUUAGCUAGUUGGUGAGGUAAAGGCUCACCAAGGCGACGAUCUGUAGCGGGUCUGAGAGGAUGAUCCGCCAUACUGGAACUGAGACACGGUCCAGACUCCUACGGGAGGCAGCAGUGGGGAAUUUUUGGACAAUGGGGGGCAACCCUGAUCCAGCCAUGCCGCGUGAGUGAAGAAGGCCUUC
rnacentral:rRNA from 1 species